rnacentral:rRNA from 1 species
GAUGAACGCUGGCGGCGUGCCUAAUACAUGCAAGUCGAGCGAACAGACGAGGAGCUUGCUCCUCUGACGUUAGCGGCGGACGGGUGAGUAAAACGUGGAUAACCUCCCUAUAAGACUGGGAUAACUUCGGGAAACCGGAGCUAAUACCGGAUAAUAUAUUGAACCGCAUGGUUUAAUAGUGAAAGACGGUUUUGCUGUCACUUAUAGAUGGAUCCGCGCCGCAUUAGCUAGUUGGUAAGGUAACGGCUUACCAAGGCAACGAUGCGUAGCCGACCUGAGAGGGUGAUCGGCCACACUGGAACUGAGAAACGGUCCAGACUCCUACGGGAGGCAGCAGUAGGGAAUCUUCCGCAAUGGGCGAAAGCCUGACGGAGCAACGCCGCGUGAGUGAUGAAGGUCUUCGGAUCGUAAAACUCUGUUAUUAGGGAAGAACAAAUGUGUAAGUAACUAUGCACGUCUUGACGGUACCUAAUCAGAAAGCCACGGCUAACUACGUG